rnacentral:rRNA from 1 species
GUUGUAUGGUUAAGUAAUUAAGCGUAGACGGUGGAUGCCUUGGCAGUCAGAGGCGAUGAAGGACGUAUUAACUUGCGAAAAGCCCAGAUAAGGCAGUAAAAGCCAUUUGAAUCUGGGAUAUCCGAAUGGGGAAACCCACCUGCAUAAGYAGGUAUCUUAGCGUGAAUACAUAGCGCUAAGAGGCGAACUCGGGGAACUGAAACAUCUAAGUACCCGAAGGAAAAGAAAUCAAUUGAGAUUCCGGCAGUAGCGGCGAGCGACCCCGGAUUAGCCCUUAAGCAGACUUGGCGUUAGGUGAACAGGUUGGAAAACCUGGCAAUAAAGGGUGAUAGCCCCGUAACCGACGGCGCCAUAUUUGUGAAAACGAGUAGGACGGGACACGUGAUAUCUUGUCUGAACAUGGGGGGACCAUCCUCCAAGGCUAAAUACUCCUGACUGACCGAUAGUGAACCAGUACCGUGAGGGAAAGGCGAAAAGAACCCCUGUGAGGGGAGUGAAAUAGAACCUGAAACCGUCUACGUACAAGCAGUGGGAGCCUCCUUUGUGGGGUGACCGGACGGGACACGUGAUAUCUUGUCUGAACAUGGGGGGACCAUCCUCCAAGGCUAAAUACUCCUGACUGACCGAUAGUGAACCAGUACCGUGAGGGAAAGGCGAAAAGAACCCCUGUGAGGGGAGUGAAAUAGAACCUGAAACCGUCUACGUACAAGCAGUGGGAGCCUCCUUUGUGGGGUGACCGCGUACCUUUUGUAUAAUGGGUCAGCGACUUAAUGUUAGUAGCAAGGUUAACCGCAUAGGGGAGCCGUAGGGAAACCGAGUCUUAACUGGGCGURUAGUUGCUAGCAUUAGACCCGAAACCGAGUGAUCUAGCCAUGGGCAGGUUGAAGGUUGAGUAACAUCAACUGGAGGACCGAACUCACUAACGUUGAAAAGUUAGGAGAUGACCUGUGGCUAGGGGUGAAAGGCCAAUCAAACUCGGAGAUAGCUGGUUCUCCCCGAAAGCUAUUUAGGUAGCGCCUCGGACGAACACUACUGGGGGUAGAGCACUGUUAAGGCUAGGGGGUCAUCCCGACUUACCAACCCUUUGCAAACUCCGAAUACCAGUAAGUGCUAUCCGGGAGACACACGGCGGGUGCUAACGUCCGUCGUGGAGAGGGAAACAACCCAGACCGCCAGCUAAGGUCCCAAAGUUAUCGCUAAGUGGGAAACGAUGUGGGAAGGCUCAGACAGCCAGGAUGUUGGCUUAGAAGCAGCCAUCAUUUAAAGAAAGCGUAAUAGCUCACUGGUCGAGUCGGCCUGCGCGGAAGAUGUAACGGGGCUAAGCGAUACACCGAAGCUGCGGCAAUGCGAUUUAUCGUAUUGGGUAGGGGAGCGUUGUGUAAGCYGUUGAAGGUGUGCUGAGAGGCAUGCUGGAGGUAUCACAAGUGCGAAUGCUGACAUGAGUAACGAUAAWGGGGGUGAAAAACCUCCWCGCCGGAAGACCAAGGGUUCCUGUCCAACGUUAAUCGGGGCAGGGUAAGUCGGCCCCUAAGGCGAGGCCGAAAGGCGUAGUCGAUGGGAAACGGGUUAAUAUUCCCGUACUGCUACUUACUGCGAUGGGGGGACGGAGAAGGCUAGGUGGGCCUGGCGAUGGUUGUCCAGGUUCAAGGGUGUAGGCUGUAAUCUUAGGCAAAUCCGGGAUUACRYACGGUCGAGACCCGAUGUCGAGCCACCAAGGUGGUGAAGUCAUUGAUGCCAUGCUUCCGGGAAAAGCCUCUAAGCUUCAGGUAAGUAGGAACCGUACUCCAAACCGACACAGGUGGUCGGGUAGAGAAUACCAAGGCGCUUGAGAGAACUCGGGUGAAGGAACUAGGCAAAAUGGUACCGUAACUUCGGGAGAAGGUACGCUGCCCACGGUGAAGUCCCUUGCGGAUGGAGCUAUGGGCAGUCGCAGAUACCAGGUGGCUGCAACUGUUUAUUAAAAACACAGCACUGUGCAAAAUCGAAAGAUGACGUAUACGGUGUGACGCCUGCCCGGUGCCGGAAGGUUAAUUGAUGUGGUUAUCGCAAGAGAAGCCAUUGAUCGAAGCCCCGGUAAACGGCGGCCGUAACUAUAACGGUCCUAAGGUAGCGAAAUUCCUUGUCGGGUAAGUUCCGACCUGCACGAAUGGCGUAAUGAUGGCCACGCUGUCUCCACCCGAGACUCAGUGAAAUUGAAAUCGCAGUGAAGAUGCUGUGUACCCGCGGCUAGACGGAAAGACCCCGUGAACCUUUACUACAGCUUGGCACUGAACAUUGAGCCUACAUGUGUAGGAUAGGUGGGAGGCUUUGAAACGGCGACGCCAGUUGUCGUGGAGCCAUCCUUGAAAUACCACCCUUGUAUGUUUGAUGUUCUAACUUAGCCCCSUUAUCSGGGGUGAGGACAGUGCCUGGUGGGUAGUUUGACUGGGGCGGUCUCCUCCCAAAGYGUAACGGAGGAGCACGAAGGUGGGCUAAUCACGGUCGGACAUCGUGAGGUUAGUGCAAUGGCAUAAGCCCGCUUAACUGCGAGAGUGACGGCUCGAGCAGGUACGAAAGUAGGUCAUAGUGAUCCGGUGGUUCUGAAUGGAAGGGCCAUCGCUCAACGGAUAAAAGGUACUCCGGGGAUAACAGGCUGAUACCGCCCAAGAGUUCAUAUCGACGGCGGUGUUUGGCACCUCGAUGUCGGCUCAUCACAUCCUGGGGCUGAAGUCGGUCCCAAGGGUAUGGCUGUUCGCCAUUUAAAGUGGUACGCGAGCUGGGUUUAGAACGUCGUGAGACAGUUCGGUCCCUAUCUGCCGUGGGCGUUGGAUGAUUGAGGGGAGCUGCUCCUAGUACGAGAGGACCGGAGUGGACGAACCGCUGGUGUUCGGGUUGUGUCGCCAGACGCAUUGCCCGGUAGCUAAGUUCGGCACAGAUAAGCGCUGAAAGCAUCUAAGCGCGAAGCUGGCCCCGAGAUGAGUCAUCCCUAGAGCUUCGAGCUCUCUAAAGGGUUGUG